rnacentral:lncRNA from 1 species
GAUUAAUUGGGUUUAAAUUGUAAAAAAAUAUAAUAAUAAUAUAAAUAAAAUAUUUCAAUUAAUUCUGCUUAGUUUUGAAUUACAAAAAAAUAAAAAUAUGAUUUCUAAAAAGGAUCUUUAGUUUUUAGCUUUUACCUUUCAAUAAAACUCUUGUUUCUCUAAAAAAAAUAUCUAGGAAGCGUAGCAAAACGCAGGCAGAUUCAAAAUUUGAAAAGUGGGACGAGCGCACACGCCAAAAUUCAGGGCCAACGGACGUGCCCAGGGGUCGGCCGCCCCUGGCCUGACACGUCUGCGGCCCGAUCUUUUCCAGCGUCUAUCUCUUCAUCAUCCCUAUCCUUAUCUGCAUGCAAAUUCAAAUUUGCCGCUCGUGAUCUCGCCAGGGAGGGCCUUCUUCCUAUUUAAACACCCCCUAACCCCUCUCUAAGCCAUAGCCAUUAGUGCUUUCCAAGUUUACAUCUUCACAAACCACC